CACGUAGGGCGCAAGCGUUGUCCGGAAUUAUUGGGCGUAAAGAGCUCGUAGGCGGUCCGUCACGUCCGCUGUGAAAACCCACGGGCUCAACCCUGGGCUUGCAGUGGAUACGGGCAGACUAGAGGUAGGUAGGGGAGAAUGGAAUUCCCGGUGUAGCGGUGAAAUGCGCAGAUAUCGGGAGGAACACCGGUGGCGAAGGCGGUUCUCUGGGCCUUACCUGACGCUGAGGAGCGAAAGCGUGGGGAGCGAACAGG
rnacentral:rRNA from 1 species